GCUCAAACUCACACCCUAUCGGGUCUCUAGCACCAGACAUUAGAGAUCAUUUAGUUUAGGGCCCUCACUUAAAAUAUGCUCAAGGUCAAGUAGGAAGUUGAGAGCCGAGGUCCUCAAGCCCAUGUCCUCUGCUUGUUUCACUCCCCACCUGCCUCCUUCCCUCCAUCUGCUUGUCAAAGUCUGGCAAGCCCCAGCUCAACUCCCACCUCUUCUUAGAAGUCUUUUUUCAGAUCCCCCAAGGUGAACUGGUCUACACUUUCCCCAUAGCUACACCAUGGCAAGCUCUGAACAUUUUUUAUAAUACUUACCAGUCUUCUUGGUAUUAGAGUUCACCAUCCAUGCUUCUGUCUUCGCCCGGUUUGCCUGAAGAACAAAGACACAAUUUACUCACUUCGCAUGUGCACUGUGCUCUGCUUACAUCAAGGCCAUCAUGAAACGCUCAUUGACUUGAUUAUUAAGGUUGUGUAAUGUGGACCAUUUAUCUUAGAAGAGAGAAGAUUUAGCAGAAUGGAACUGGGCCUCAUGGGGAGGAAGGAUUAGAUUUAGCUACUCCGUUCCAGAGAAUAGAACGAGGGCAAGCAGUAGAAGUCACCAGGGGGCAGAUCUGAUCUGUUUGGUUGGAGAGAAUCCUUCACAGGACAGGCUUUUAUUUAUUUAUUUAUUUAUUUAUUUAUUUAUUUAUUUAAGUUUAUUCAUUUUGAGAGAGAGAGAGAGAGAGAGAGAGAGAGAGAGCAUGCACCGGGGAGGGGCAGAGAGAGAGGGAGAGAGAGAAUCCCAAGCAGGAAUCCCAAGAAAGCCCGGCAGGGGGCUCGAUCUCAUGAAACAGGAGAUCAUGAGCUGAGCCGAAACCAAGAGCUGGACAUUUAACCGACUGAGCCACCCAUGUGCGCCAUGACAAUCCUUGAAUAAGGAGAUGGGUGUCUCAUGAGAAGUGAGAUUCCAUCAGUGAAAUUGUUCAAGCAGAAGCGUCAUGACCACCGUCGGUGAUGAGGAAGACAGGAAUAUAGGAUACAUCCCUGAGAUUCCCCGUUGGCUCUCUGUGUUUCAACAUCAUAAAGAUCUUGGUGCCAUGUUAGGGUUCACGUGUAGUCACAGACACAGUAUUAUGAGGGGUGCACUAACAGGUUUGAGACCGAGUCCGGCACACCUGGGUCCAGGUACAGCUGGGUCUCAGCUUGGCUCUCACCAGUCCAGUGUGCAGAAGGGACGGUACCUCCACAAAAAGCCAGCCCCUUUCCCCACUCCCUGUGUUGCUUGCCAUAUCCCCUCCCUCACCUUUCCCCAUUCUGCUCAUUUCUGUCCUGUGCACCUGCAAGGUCAGCUUCAUGCUGAAUUUUACUACAGUGAAAAGUCCUGAGUGUCUCACGGUUGUGUGCUGAAACCUCUCAGCUUAGCCUCGGGGUGUAGUGUUAUAUUCAAACCUUUUCGAGCAUUUCCACAUAAAGGCCCUGAAUCCAUCUUUUCUAGGCUCUUAGCCUUGGAGCUAUAGUUUUUCUGUUUCUUCUGGCCAUUCCAUUCCAUUUUCAAAGUAUGGGUCUAGCUAUUACUUUUCUGGCUGGGUCCCAGGUAGACUUUUGUAAGCUUCCAGCCACAACCUUUCCAUUUUCAUGGGCUUGUCACCAUCAAGUAGGUACCCCUCUGGUAUUGCUCUCAGGAUCCCGUUUUCCCCAUUUUGGGGGCUCCCGUCUGAGACUUCUCCCCAACCGCUGCAUACCCAGGUAUUGAUUGUGAUCUCCCAUUGACCCCUCUCCCCCAAGGUCUACCUAGUUUUCUUUACAACACAGUUUGGCUUCCUACCCAUGGCCCUGAGUUCCUCUGGCAUCUGGCCUCGUUUGUAAGGUUCUCGCUCAGAGGGUUCAGGUCAGUAGAAUAUCCACCAUUCAUCAGCCUGAUACGUUUGCAAUCUCCAAAGUAUCUACCUUCAUAACGUUCAUUUCUAGGUAAUAUCAAACUUAAGAGUGGGUUCUAUUUCAAAAGUUCAUUUGUUUUUUUAUUUUAAUAUUUUUAUUUAUUAUUUAUUUGUUUAUUUAUUUAUUUAGAGAGCAUGUAAACACGGGGAGGGGCAGAGGGAGAGAGAGAGAGAAAGAGAGAGAGAGAGAGAGAGAGAGAGAGAGAGAGAAUCCCAAGCAGGCUCCCUGCUCAGUGUGAAGCCAGAUGUGAGGCUUCAUCUGAUGACCCUGGGAUUAUGACCUGAGCCAAAAUCAAGAGUCAGAUGCUCAACCCAGGCGCCUCUCAAAAGUUCAUGUGUAAAGGACUUGUUUAGAACUCACAUUUUUUCCUUGCCGUAAUGUUCUUCAUGGUGGUUAGUUUUGCCAGGCCAGUCCAGGAGAACCCAUCUAACCUUCAGGAUUAGGCUGGACUGCCAGGACCACAGAAUGAUUAGGAGUAAUAAUAGGUGAACAGAAUACAAUCAUGGAAUAGAACAGUGUUUCUAUGGGGAAAUAUUUUCAGAGUUCUAACUAAGAAUGCUGGGAUUCCUUUAACUGCCCGCAGUUUGCACCCUUAGUAAAAGAAAACAAAGCCACUACAAUUUAGGGAGGGGUUACUCUGCACCAGGUGGGGUAAACUCAUUAUGUGAGUGAUAUGGUUUCAUCCUCAUGUCAACACUGAUGGAGAGUGGUGUCGGUACUGCUAUUAAUCCACAUUUUGAAGAUGAGGGAAUGGAGGCCAAAAGAACUGAUCUCAGGGACUUUGGACAGGGAUUCUGGUAAAAUAAAAUCUGGUGUACUACUCGACCCAGUUCGCCAACUCCAUCAUGUUGGAGAAGAUCAGAGUGAAAAGUCAGUGGAAAAAUUCAAUGGCCCCAGAGAAAAUACUCACACAUAGUGACAGCUGGGAGGAAGGUUUUCAGCCAAGGCAAAUCAACGUGGCUGAAAUUCCCACGAGAAAGUAGACCAGGCAUGAGAACUGAGUAUGUACCUGUCUGGAAGCCAGAGCCUUUGAUAAGCAAGAGAACCAGGAAGAAAACUGCUUAGAUUUCCACUGCUAACGGCUGACUUAGCAGAAGGUGGCUUCUGAUACGCACUGGGAGAGGUGGGAGAGCAGUGAUGAUUUCCUUUCUCCCAGACAGAUACUUUACAUUGCAUCACACCCUCUUCAACUUGACCUGGCUGCAUCCUCUGUCAACUUCAGCUUCAGUUUUUGAAGUAGGAGGAUUUACCUGUCACACACUUCUAUUAGGGUUACUAAUUCUCAUUCUGGUCUGCCAGGGACUUUCCCACUUUUAAUAAAAAACAUCCCACCCACUACCAGUCCCUUUAGUCCCAGGCAAACUGGGACUGUCUCACUCAUCCAAGAUGCACGUGAAGUGCUAGGAGUGCUUGGUCUGUACACAGAAUGUUCUAGGCAGCAUCGGGUAGGAAAUGCAAUUGCUAGAACACAAUGUAGCUCUGAAGUCUUAUCUGCCCUGAUAGGGGUGUAUGGAGCCUGGGAGGCAGCAGGGAGGAGCUAGGGUGGCUUUGGGUGGUGUUGUGCCCAUCGAGCCCACCCCAGGGGAGAAAGUGC